GACGAACGCUGGCGGCGUGCUUAACACAUGCAAGUCGAACGGAAAGGCCCUGCUUUUGUGGGGUGCUCGAGUGGCGAACGGGUGAGUAACACGUGUGUAACCUGCCCUUGACUUUGGGAAAACUCUUGGAAAAGGGGGCGAUAACGGGGAAGGAGCUCUUGCACCGGGUGGGGGGUUGGAAGGUUUCGGCGGUGGGGGAUGUACUCGCGGCUUAUCAGCUUGUUGGGGAGGUAGGGGCUUACAAGGGUUUUGACGGGUAGGCGGCCUUAGAGGGUGACCGGCCACAUUGGGACUGAGAUACGGCCCAGACUCCUACGGGCGGCAGCAGUGGGGAAUAUUGCACAAUGGGCGGAAGCCUGAUGCAGCAACGCCGCGUGCGGGAUGACGGCCUUCGGGUUGUAAACCGCUUUCGCCUGUGCCGAAGCGUGAGUGACGGUAAUGGGUAAAGAAGCACCGGCUAACUACGUG
rnacentral:rRNA from 1 species